UGAAGGCUGAAAUUCGCCUUCAUGAAGCUGGAAUUGCUAGUAAUGGCAGGUCAGCAUACUGCCGUGAAUACGUUCCCGGGCCUUGUACACACCGCCCGUCACACCAUGAGAGUUGAGAAUACCCGAAGCCCAUGUCAAAGUGGUCGAAGGUAGGCUUGAUGAUUGGGGUGAAGUCGUAACAAGGUAUC
rnacentral:rRNA from 1 species